rnacentral:rRNA from 1 species
CUCUGGUGGCGAGUGGCGAACGGGUGAGUAAUAUAUCGGAACGUACCCUGGAGUGGGGGAUAACGUAGCGAAAGUUACGCUAAUACCGCAUACGAUCUAAGGAUGAAAGUGGGGGAUCGCAAGACCUCAUGCUCGUGGAGCGGCCGAUAUCUGAUUAGCUAGUUGGUAGGGUAAAAGCCUACCAAGGCAUCGAUCAGUAGCUGGUCUGAGAGGACGACCAGCCACACUGGAACUGAGACACGGUCCAGACUCCUACGGGAGGCAGCAGUGGGGAAUUUUGGACAAUGGGCGAAAGCCUGAUCCAGCAAUGCCGCGUGAGUGAAGAAGGCCUUCGGGUUGUAAAGCUCUUUUGUCAGGGAAGAAACGGUGAGAGCUAAUAUCUCUUGCUAAUGACGGUACCUGAAGAAUAAGCACCGGCUAACUACGUGCCAGCAGCCGCGGUAAUACGUAGGGUGCAAGCGUUAAUCGGAAUUACUGGGCGUAAAGCGUGCGCAGGCGGUUUUGUAAGUCUGAUGUGAAAUCCCCGGGCUCAACCUGGGAAUUGCAUUGGAGACUGCAAGGCUAGAAUCUGGCAGAGGGGGGUAGAAUUCCACGUGUAGCAGUGAAAUGCGUAGAUAUGUGGAGGAACACCGAUGGCGAAGGCAGCCCCCUGGGUCAAGAUUGACGCUCAUGCACGAAAGCGUGGGGAGCAAACAGGAUUAGAUACCCUGGUAGUCCACGCCCUAAACGAUGUCUACUAGUUGUCGGGUCUUAAUUGACUUGGUAACGCAGCUAACGCGUGAAGUAGACCGCCUGGGGAGUACGGUCGCAAGAUUAAAACUCAAAGGAAUUGACGGGGACCCGCACAAGCGGUGG